UACGUAGGUGGCAAGCGUUGUCCGGAAUUAUUGGGCGUAAAGCGCGCGCAGGCGGUCUUUUAAGUCUGAUGUGAAAGCCCACGGCUCAACCGUGGAGGGUCAUUGGAAACUGGGAGACUUGAGUGCAGAAGAGAAGAGCGGAAUUCCACGUGUAGCGGUGAAAUGCGUAGAGAUGUGGAGGAACACCAGUGGCGAAGGCGGCUCUUUGGUCUGUAACUGACGCUGAGGCGCGAAAGCGUGGGGAGCGAACAGG
rnacentral:rRNA from 1 species